rnacentral:rRNA from 1 species
CACGCCGUAAACGAUGGGUGCUAGGUGUAGGAGGUAUCGACCCCUUCUGUGCCGUAGUUAACACAAUAAGCACCCCGCCUGGGGAGUACGGCCGCAAGGUUGAAACUCAAAGGAAUUGAC